rnacentral:rRNA from 1 species
GUGGGGAAUCUUGCGCAAUGGGCGAAAGCCUGACGCAGCCAUGCCGCGUGAAUGAUGAAGGUCUUAGGAUUGUAAAAUUCUUUCACCGGGGACGAUAAUGACGGUACCCGGAGAAGAAGCCCCGGCUAACUUCGUGCCAGCAGCCGCGGUAAUACGAAGGGGGCUAGCGUUGCUCGGAAUUACUGGGCGUAAAGGGCGCGUAGGCGGAUCGUUAAGUCAGGGGUGAAAUCCCAGAGCUCAACUCUGGAACUGCCCUUGAUACUGGCAAUCUUGAGUGUGAGAGAGGUAUGUGGAACUCCGAGUGUAGAGGUGAAAUUCGUAGAUAUUCGGAAGAACACCAGUGGCGAAGGCGACAUACUGGCUCAUUACUGACGCUGAGGCGCGAAAGCGUGGGGAGCAAACAGGAUUAGAAACCCCAGUAGUCC